UACGGAGGAUGCAAGCGUUAUCCGGAUUUAUUGGGUUUAAAGGGUGCGCAGGCGGGAGAUUAAGUCGGCGGUGAAAUUUUGCAGCUCAACUGUAAAAGUGCCUUCGAAACUGGUUUCCUUGAGUGUAGAUGAAGUAGGCGGAAUUUGUGGUGUAGCGGUGAAAUGCUUAGAUAUCACGAGGAACUCCGAUUGCGCAGGCAGCUUACUAAACUACUACUGACGCUCAGGCACGAAGGCGUGGGGAUCAAACAGGAUUAGAUACCCGUGUAGU
rnacentral:rRNA from 1 species